rnacentral:tmRNA from 1 species
GGGCUUGUACUGGUUUCGACGGGGGCUGUGAAGCUGGUGAAGCUAUCCGCAUGCAAUGCGUUAAAUGGCAAACCUAAAUAUAAACGCUAACAACGAAUUAGCAUACGCAGCCUAAUUUAGGCAGCUGUCGGCUUCGGGAGACCUGCAUCCCGGAUUACCGGCACCAUGAAUCGCAGGAAACGACAUAUACAAAGCUUUGAGUAUGUGGGCGUAAUAUGAAGCUACUGAAUGGGAAAGGAUGUCUGUUUUCGUUCACAGGAGGGAAUGUCAAACAAUAGACUAUGAUAGUAGAAGAACAGGGGAUCGGUUUUCGGACAGGGGUUCGAUUCCCCUCAGGUCCAU